UCGUUCCGGUGUGACAAAGUUCCGGAACACGCUUGUCCCGCCUGAAGUUCCCGGCUUGGACCCUCGGGUGUAAACAGAGAAACGUUUUGAUCGCCAGGUGUUCUCCCGCGAAGGUGAAGUCGGUUCUGGGUCUCCCCCCUGCCCCAACGGCGGCCUCUGAAGUCGGCCUCUGUGUCCGGUCCGGCCGGCCCCCUUCCGCAGAAGGACGGCUCCCUGAGUUAGGAACCGCAUUCCCAGUCUCUAGCUUGAGACCAGUGAGGAAAGACUCAAGGAAUUUGAAAAAAUGAAGCAUUCUUUGAAGUUUGUUGUCAACCCUUGUCCACUUUGCAAGGAACACCCUUCCUGAUAACUGAAAGGAGCAGAGAUUUCUCUGACAUGUUUUCCACCCAGCCCUCUUCACGGGGAUUCUUUUCAUUGCUUUGAAAUCUAAGACUUGGCUGUAUCUUGAUCAACAUUUUUGUGGAUGAAAAAGCUGAAACUUCAUUCAAGAUGAUCCAGCUGACAAAAGUUAGGAACAAGCAACCCACAACAGACUUUUGAGGAAUGACAGAACGACCAGAGAAGACAUUUUGAGCUGAGCUGUACUGACUGUACAUAGCAAACUCUGCUGAGAGUAUUGGAGCUCUGUCCCUGCUAAUGUUCUAGAGUUUGGGAAGGCACAAUCAAGAAGGCUUGAGAAUAAAUGCAGUGACGGACCCUCGGGUCCUUCCAGAACAGAUCCUCUUGUUUCUCAUCCUGAUUAGUCCUUGACAUUUGUACUCAUGCAAAUGCCAGUGAGAAGACAAGGUUGAAGUCGGAGAAAGUUUCACCCAGUCUGAGGCCACCCAGGCCUCAGGAUGUUUGUCCACAUGGAACGUAUCUUCCCUCAAACGAAUAAACAGCAAAGGCUUUCUAGUUAAACCACUGAGCAAUUCAAAUUAAGUGGUGAACCAGAGACAUCUGUGUUGGGUAUAGCGAUCCUAUCAGAGACUCACCACAUUAAAUAAAAUUAAAAAAUGGGCAUUCUUGCUGGGAAAAGCAGAGCUGAUUCUCUGACUUCCAGAAAGAUUUCCAUGAAGAGUACUGGGCACCUGAACCUCACUGGAACCCAACACCCAUCUGUGCUCAGAUCAAGCCCCAUUCUGGGGGGCCUCUGCUUUUGGAGCCGAAAGGCCUGGAAAGGCCACACAGCCCAGAAGCCGCGUGACCCAAUAGGGCUCUACGACACUACUGCACGCCAGGUCCCUGUGUUGCAACCAAUUGAGUUCGACCCGCCUGUGCACAGAGAUCCUACAUGCUUGUGCCUUGACCAGCUGCUACCAAAGUUCCAGGGAAAACAGUGAGUUAAACCUUCUUGGCCUGCCGCCUGUUGCAUCUGUUGUACUCAGUCCUGGCGCUCCACCCGAUUGGGAGAGUUUUAAAUUUCACACAGGCUUCUUCGAGGUUUUUACUGCCUUAGGCAGCAAAUACCACAGCCGCAUUCAGCCGCACGCAUUCAUUUAGAUCUAGCUGCCUGUGCAUGCCUGCAGCCUGGAGUUGAGAGCCGCAUGGCUGGGCCGAUUUUGUCCUGCCUUACCAAACCGAGCAAGUUUUCCUUUCUGUGCGGGCCUCCAAAGCCAAAAAAGCGCUACUGCCGCUGCAGUUUCUGUGGCCUGCAACCGCUGGCAGAAAAACCAGGCGUCCUCUGCUGAGACUGCACAUACUAUGUCCCCCUCCUGCGCUAAGAUUCCCAGCUCCAGGUCCCAAAGCUGCCCUACAGCUGGGCUGCCCGCUGCACCAACUCAGCCAUGAGCCUUCUGCAUCUGCAGAGCUUGGUCUCCACCCAGUACUGUUCUUUGAAGGUUUUCCCACACCUAGUAAACAGAGCCCCAAUCCGUUCUUAACACGCUCUGUAAGGAUUUUUCAAGAAAUUUCGGGUCCAACUCAAAAACAACUGCAACUGAACACCCGCGCCACCUGCUGGUCAAAAGUGGUUAUUGCAUCUGGAGUAGACGCAGCCUGAUUCAUCCAGCUGAAAACCUCCUAUCGCAUCUGGAGUAGAAGCUGACUGGUAAAUAUGGCCGAAUAUUUAUCAUUCGCCUCAAUUGGUAACAUUUUUGCUUCUUAUGUAAAUUCAAUGUUCAAGGAAGGUGCUGAUCUGCCAAUAAUUGGCCUGUAUGCCUUACUAGCUGUUAGCGUGCUAAUGCAUGCAUUAUCACUAGCCAGAGAUACCCCAGGAACAGGGAUAAAGCUAAUUUUACCACCUGCCUACAGGACAUACAAGCUUUACGUAAUGAGGUUUUGGAGACCAGACUGACCCAUGAUACAUUUAUGUAGCAUGUAGAACAGAAGCUAGAUGAUAGGCUUUGCUCUAUGUCUUAUAUGAUAAGGGCAGAGCAGUCUAUACCCAAGCAGAAAUGCAGCGCAUUUAUGACAAGAUAAAUGCAGAGAGAUGCUUCAUUUCAGAGGCGUUAGAGGUGAGGCAGUCAGAGGACUGUGAUAAACUAAAGAAUAUAUGUAGCCAAUUGGAAACUUUGAUAGGCUCUCUGUCCUGUAAUCUGGAUACAAAGAUGCAAGAUAGCCAGGAUAGGCUUAAACAAUUGCAUAAUGCCAUUAAUUCAAUGGCUGAAAAAUACAAGAUGGUAGAUGAUAGAGUUGAAUCUAGAUUCGAAUGUUUGGAAGAUGUCCUACAGAACAGGGCUAACAGAUUAGAGAGGUCCAUCAGGUCAAUUGCUGAGGCAAAUCAUGACCUCGAGUCUAAACUUCAAUUCCUGGACAGCAGUCUCCAUGCCACCCAGAUGCUAGCAAGAGACAAACGUAUUAAACACCUAGAAAACUGCAUAGAAGAGCAGUCACAGCAAUUAACGGAUUCACUAUCAUGCCUAGAAUCUUUUAUCAUUAAGGAGAUUGAAACUUUUCAUGAGGAUAUCAUUACUAGACUCAAGGAUCGUUGGGAUGACGUGGAGACAGAAUCACUCCAAUCCGAGGCACCUACUCCACCCAGGUAUCUUGAUCAUUCUAAAGUCAUUACGAGUACACCAUUGGUAUACCCAGCAACAAUGGUAGAAAAGCCACCAACUAAAAAACACCCCCAGUGACAGGUGGCUUAUGUAUGGCAACCUAUACAGCUGAAGGAU